UACGGGGGGGUAAGCGUUGUUCGGAAUUCCUGGGCGUAAAGGGCUCGUAGGCGGCCAACUAAGUCAGACGUGAAAUCCCUCAGCUUAACUGGGGAACUGCGUCUGAUACUGGAUGGCUUGGAUUUGGGAGAGGAAUGCGGAAUUCCAGGUGUAGCGGUGAAAUGCGUAGAUAUCUGGAGGAACACCGGUGGCGAAGGCGGCAUUCUGGACCAAUUCUGACGCUGAGGAGCGAAAGCCAGGGGAGCAAACGGG
rnacentral:rRNA from 1 species